rnacentral:rRNA from 1 species
GCUACCGCUUAGAGAUGGGCUUGCGCACCAUUAGCUUGUUGGUGGGGUAAUGGCCUACCAAGGCUUUGAUGGUUAGCCGACCUGAGAGGGUGAUCGGCCACAUUGGGACUGAGAUACGGCCCAGACUCCUACGGGAGGCAGCAGUAGGGAAUUUUGCGCAAUGGACGAAAGUCUGACGCAGCAACGCCGCGUGAGGGAUGAGGGGUUUCGGCUCGUAAACCUCUGUUGAGUAGGAAGAAACGUCAUGGGGUUAAUACCCUCAUGGCCUGACGGUACUACUCGAGGAAGCUCCGGCUAACUACGUGCCAGCAGCCGCGGUAAUACGUAGGGGGCGAGCGUUGUUCGGAAUCACUGGGCGUAAAGGGAGCGUAGGCGGGAAGGUAAGUCAGAAGUCUAACACAUGGUCUUAACCCAUGUCCGGCUUUUGAUACUGCUUUUCUUGAGUAUGGGAGAGGAAGAUGGAAUUCCAGGUGUAGCGGUGGAAUGCGUAGAUAUCUGGAAGAACACCAGUUGCGAAGGCGGUCUUCUGGCCCAAUACUGACGCUGAGGCUCGAAAGCUAGGGGAGCAAACAGGAUUAGAUACCCUGGUAGUCCUAGCCAUAAACGAUGGACACUAGUUGGUGGAGGGAGUCAAUCUUUUCACUGACGAAGUUAACGCAUUAAGUGUCCCGCCUGGGGAGUACGCCCGCAAGGGUGAAACUCAAAGGAAUUGACGGGGGCCCGCACAAGCGGUGGAGCAUGUGCUUUAAUUCGAUGCAACGCGAAGAACCUUACCUGGGUUUGACAUGGGGAUGAAACUCUCCAGAGAUGGAGAGCCUUCCUUCGGGAACAUCCUACACAGGUGCUGCAUGGUUGUCGUCAGCUCGUGUCGUGAGAUGUUGGGUUAAGUCCCGCAACGAGCGCAACCCUCGUCCUUAGUUGCCAUCAGGUAAUGCUGGGAACUCUAGGGAGACUGCCUGGUCACAACCAGGAGGAAGGUGAGGAUGACGUCAAAUCAUCAUGGCUCUUACGCCCAGGGCUAGACACGUGCUACAAUGGUUGGUACAAUGGGAUGCCACACUGCGAAGUGGAGCAAACCCCAAAAAACCAACCUCAGUUCAGAUUGGAGUCUGCAAUUCGACUCCAUGAAGGUGGAAUCGCUAGUAAUCGCGGAUCAGCAUGCCGCGGUGUAUACGUUCCCGGGCCUUGUACA